rnacentral:rRNA from 1 species
AUUGAACGCUGGCGGCAUGCUUUACACAUGCAAGUCGAACGGUAACAGGGAGCUUGCUCCGCUGACGAGUGGCGAACGGGUGAGUAAUGCGUCGGAACGUGCCGAGUAGUGGGGGAUAACGCAUCGAAAGGUGUGCUAAUACCGCAUACGAACUGAGGUUGAAAGUGGGGGACCUUCGGGCCUCACGCUAUUCGAGCGGCCGACGUCUGAUUAGCUAGUUGGUGAGGUAAAGGCUCACCAAGGCGACGAUCAGUAGCGGGACUGAGAGGACGAUCGGCCAGACUGGGACUAGGACACGGCCCAGACUCCUCCGGGAGGCAGCAGUGGGGAAUUAUGGAGAAUGGGCGCAAGGCUGAUUCAGCCAUGCCGCGUGUCUGAAGAAGGCCUUCGGGUUGUAAAGGACUUUUGUCCGGGAGCAAAUGCUGGUGGCUAACAUCCACCGGAGCUGAGAGUACCGGAAGAAUAAGCACCGGCUAACUACGUGCCAGCCGCCGCCGUAACAC